rnacentral:rRNA from 1 species
UACGGGGGGAGCAAGCGUUGUUCGGAUUUACUGGGCGUAAAGCGUGCGCAGGCGGCUUUGCAAGACAGAUGUGAAAUCCCCGGGCUCAACCUGGGAACUGCAUUUGUGACUGCAUGGCUGGAGUGCGGCAGAGGGGGAUGGAAUUCCGCGUGUAGCAGUGAAAUGCGUAGAUAUGCGGAGGAACACCGAUGGCGAAGGCAAUCCCCUGGGCCUGCACUGACGCUCAUGCACGAAAGCGUGGGGAGCAAACAGG